UUUAUUUUUUAUUCUAUCCAUUUUCUUUUCUAUUUAUUAUUCAGAUGCUGUUAUCCAGUUUGCUCCAAUUAGGGUCUUUGAUUUUUUGGUCUUUGCCAGGGUGUUCUGAAUGGUUGCUAGGUGAUUUCAAAUUUGCCCAAGCUGAGCCCAUCUUGAGAGUCCAUCCCAAGUCUAUAAUAUCUACGAUAUUCUGGUUAUGACAGAAUGGCGGAUUCAGCGUUAUCAAGCUCUGUGCGAAGGGUCAAUUGGUGGAUGAAUUAUGAUCUGAAAUCCAAGCAAUGAAUUUCCGGAGGUUAAAAACAAGUGGAGCGGCAGCAUUGUGGAUGCACUGGAGGGGAUAUGUGGUAGAUGCUGGUAGGCCGGGCGAAGAGGUACUAUGCCCUAGGUUAUUAAAAACCCAAAGGCGAAGAAUAGAUCUCCGCUAAUGACAGGAUUAAGAAGAAGAGCCAUUCAUCUUACGCAGAUUUGCCCCGCUGCAUUUCUGCACUCUGCGCUAACUGCACUAGCUUUAAUUGGCCAAGACUGGAGCCGAAAGAUCCUCAAUUAGACACUCGGUGGCGGAUCUCCUGGGUUAAAGAACUGGUGCGGAACAAAAAACAGGCUUAAGACGAGCGGAAGUAAGAACAAAGGGAGGAAACGGGCAAAGGAACCUGAAAGCCCCGGCCUUGACACGUACACACGCUUUCAUCAUUAAAGAAGAACUCAGAAAAAAGGGUCUUCUUAACGUCGGAGCCGAGCGCAUGUGGAUUCCCACCAGCUUCUGCAAAACCUUGGGGGUCCGACUGACAGGCUUGUCUGAUUAAUGGAUGACUUUCUGACUCUCCAUCUUCUCUGUAUGUUAUCCGUUAUGACUUUGAAAAAGACCCUCACGGAGAGCGGCAGAGACACAUCAUUGUUAGCGUGUGGAUUAGGACCUCAAGGUGAAGGAAGAGAAUGGACUGCGUCCAAUACCGUGACAACCUUAAUGAGAUCAUACUUCAUCAUUGACUUCACAGCUGACAUGAACCACAUGGUCCUGGUAGCGCACAUCAAUGGUGCAUAUAGUCCUGCAGAGUGCUCUUUAUCCAACAUUACAAGCAGUCAGAAGACCAUAGAGAGAACGGAGUGGUAUACGAUGACUCAGAAUGUGUGCUGUGACAUUUCAAAACUACAUCGUUUGACCCAGGAGAUCAAGGUUUGUCUGAUGAGCUUAGGCAGGUAGCCCCUGCUGGCAGAUGCUGCUACUACAUCAUGCUGGCAAAAAGCAUGCUUGUAUUCAACAGUAUCCUCACCCAGCUGAAUAUAGUUUUU